GCGGAUGUAGCCAAGUGGAUCAAGGCAGUGGAUUGCAAAUCCACCAUGCGCGGGUUCAAUUCCCGUCGUUCGCC
rnacentral:tRNA from 1 species